rnacentral:rRNA from 1 species
GAUGAACGCUGGCGGCGUGCCUAAUACAUGCAAGUCGAGCGAAUGGAUUAAGAGCUUGCUCUUAUGAAGUUAGCGGCGGACGGGUGAGUAACACGUGGGUAACCUGCCCAUAAGACUGGGAUAACUCCGGGAAACCGGGGCUAAUACCGGAUAACAUUUUGAACCGCAUGGUUCGAAAUUGAAAGGCGGCUUCGGCUGUCACUUAUGGAUGGACCCGCGUCGCAUUAGCUAGUUGGUGAGGUAACGGCUCACCAAGGCAACGAUGCGUAGCCGGACUGAGGGGGUGAUCGGCCACACGAGGACUGCGACACGGCCCAGACUCCUACGGGAGGCAGCAGUAAGGAAUCUUCCGCAAUGGACGAAAGUCUGACGGAGCAACUCCGCGUGAGUGAUGAAGUCUUUCGGUUCGUAAAACUCUGUUGUUAGGGAAGAACAAGUGCUAGUUGAAUAAGCUGGCACCUUGACGGUACCUAAGCAGAAAGCCACGGCUAACUACGUGCCAGCCGCCGCUGUAA